rnacentral:lncRNA from 1 species
AGCCGGGGCCGCAGCGCGGCCGGUGGGGACUGCGGGGCGGGCCGGAGUCCGUCCGAGGGCUCCCGCACCUCGGGCUGCGGGAACAUUAAAAUCUCCCCAGAUGCUCACUGCUCUGAUCAUUUCCCCUACAGCACCAGACAUGUUGGCAUCAUCUCUUAGUUGGGCCAUGUGGCCAGGGAACCCUUCAUGAAACCACCUCUGCAGUCCUGGAGAGUUGCUGUAGAAGAAGGAAAAGAGAGGAAGACAACACAACACAGGAGGGGAUAAGUACCUCUGGACACAAUGGAAGUAGUAGUUGUUGAGCAGAGGGAAAGGGAUAGGAGAAGGAUGUGGACUGCAGUGCUGCAGUGCCAGAGGAAUCAAAAGAAGGAGGAAGAAUAGAAUGAUUUGGAGGAAAAGAAGGAGAAAGUAGAGGAGUUGAAAAAAAGGAAGAAAAAGAAAAAUGCAGAAUCCUUUGUCAAUCCAACAGAACACAGCAAAAAAGCAAAGAAAGUGAAAGGGUCUGGAGCAGAGUGGAUGUCCUCAUUAUUGCUUCUAGACCAGCGCUCUGGAAGUGUGGUCUACAGACCAGCAACAACCACGUCACCUGGGAGCUUGGAAAUAGAGAAUCUCAAGUCCCACCUGCAACCUACCGAAUCAGAAUAUGCAUUUUAACGAGACCCCCCAGUGCUUUGCAUCAACACCAUAAUCUAUUUUCAAGCAGAACACUCAAAGUAAGGAACAAUCUGAAGCCCACAAAGCUACACCAGACAUUGCUUCUGGUUUCUUCUAUGACUGCCGCUUGUCUGUUUCUCCCACUUCCUUCCUUAGCUCCACACAGACUCUUGAUGUUCCUCAAACACUCCAGCAUGUUCCUGCUUCAGGAGCUUUUUAUUUAUAGCCUCCUCUGUCUGAGACACUUUCCCAUCAGUUAACCUCACAGCCCACUCCCAUACUCCAUUCAGGCCUCUGCAGAACCCACUUUUCAGACAGCCCUCCUUGAUUGACCU